rnacentral:rRNA from 1 species
GAUGAACGCUAGCUACAGGCUUAACACAUGCAAGUCGAGGGGCAGCAUUUCAGUUUGCUUGCAAACUGGAGAUGGCGACCGGCGCACGGGUGAGUAACACGUAUCCAACCUGCCGAUAACUCGGGGAUAGCCUUUCGAAAGAAAGAUUAAUACCCGAUGGUAUAAUUAGACCGCAUGGUCUUGUUAUUAAAGAAUUUCGGUUAUCGAUGGGGAUGCGUUCCAUUAGGCAGUUGGUGAGGUAACGGCUCACCAAACCUUCGAUGGAUAGGGGUUCUGAGAGGAAGGUCCCCCACAUUGGAACUGAGACACGGUCCAAACUCCUACGGGAGGCAGCAGUGAGGAAUAUUGGUCAAUGGGCGCAGGCCUGAACCAGCCAAGUAGCGUGAAGGAUGACUGCCCUAUGGGUUGUAAACUUCUUUUAUAUGGGAAUAAAGUUUUCCACGUGUGGAAUUUUGUAUGUACCAUAUGAAUAAGGAUCGGCUAACUCCGUGCCAGCAGCCGCGGUAAUACGGAGGAUCCGAGCGUUAUCCGGAUUUAUUGGGUUUAAAGGGAGCGUAGGUGGACAGUUAAGUCAGUUGUGAAAGUUUGCGGCUCAACCGUAAAAUUGCAGUUGAUACUGGCUGUCUUGAGUACAGUAGAGGUGGGCGGAAUUCGUGGUGUAGCGGUGAAAUGCUUAGAUAUCACGAAGAACUCCGAUUGCGAAGGCAGCUCACUGGACUGCAACUGACACUGAUGCUCGAAAGUGUGGGUAUCAAACCAGG